AUUGAACGCUGGCGGCAUGCCUUACACAUGCAAGUCGAACGGCAGCGGACCUUCGGGUGCCGGCGAGUGGCGAACGGGUGAGUAAUAUAUCGGAACGUACCUUUCAGUGGGGGAUAACGUAGCGAAAGUUACGCUAAUACCGCAUAUUCUGUGAGCAGGAAAGCAGGGGAGUCGCAAGACCUUGCGCUGAUUGAGCGGCCGAUAUCAGAUUAGCUAGUUGGUGAGGUAAAGGCUCACCAAGGCGACGAUCUGUAGCGGGUCUGAGAGGAUGAUCCGCCACACUGGAACUGAGACACGGUCCAGACUCCUACGGGAGGCAGCAGUGGGGAAUUUUGGACAAUGGGCGCAAGCCUGAUCCAGCCAUGCCGCGUGAGUGAAGAAGGCCUCGGUUGU
rnacentral:rRNA from 1 species